AACCUGCGGAAGGAUCAUUACCGAGUGAGGGCCCUCUGGGUCCAACCUCCCACCCGUGUUUAUUUUACCUUGUUGCUUCGGCGGGCCCGCCUUAACUGGCCGCCGGGGGGCUUACGCCCCCGGGCCCGCGCCCGCCGAAGACACCCUCGAACUCUGUCUGAAGAUUGUAGUCUGAGUGAAAAUAUAAAUUAUUUAAAACUUUCAACAACGGAUCUCUUGGUUCCGGCAUCGAUGAAGAACGCAGCGAAAUGCGAUACGUAAUGUGAAUUGCAAAUUCAGUGAAUCAUCGAGUCUUUGAACGCACAUUGCGCCCCCUGGUAUUCCGGGGGGCAUGCCUGUCCGAGCGUCAUUUCUGCCCUCAAGCACGGCUUGUGUGUUGGGCCCCGUCCUCCGAUCCCGGGGGACGGGCCCGAAAGGCAGCGGCGGCACCGCGUCCGGUCCUCGAGCGUAUGGGGCUUUGUCACCCGCUCUGUAGGCCCGGCCGGCGCUUGCCGAUCAACCCAAAUUUUUAUCCAGGUG
rnacentral:misc_RNA from 1 species